rnacentral:lncRNA from 1 species
GUCUAUAGCAAUUAAGAAGAUUUUGUAUGCUGAUGAUCCAGAUGAAUCAGCACUGGAUGAAGCUCAGGGUUACCUUGAUCAAACUAUCAAUGCUGCAAAAGCCGAAGCAGAAAUUGAAGACUGACUCUAAAAAGUAGCUCCUAACUCGGAUGUGCAAGAUACAUGUGAGGCUAUCUGUUAAACAAAGUUGGUGCUGUGCCAAUAGAGUGACAUGACAUUUAAUGAAAGAGUUGUUGUAUGGUAUGUUUGUGUUGUUGUAAACCAGGAUUAUCAAAGUAGAAACUGGUCUUUCCAAUUAAGAGUGCAUUUCAUCAUCUUUUUUAUCUGUAUGAAAAUAACUUAUCUAAUGAACUUUGCUACCAAGUUUUCUGAAUUUUUUUCUGAUAAUUUUAAUUCAAAAUGACUCGUGAGUUUCCAUGAUACAAUAUAAAACACACCCCACUAUUUGUGUAAGGGAUGGUAUUAGAGGAAAAAGUGAAGAAAUAUGAGUGUUGUAAAAUUGGUGACUAUGAGAAUGAUAAAGAUUUUUACAAUUAGUCUUAUGUCUUGUGCAAUGGAUACUUCAAACUUUCUUGCAGGCUAUUUCAUGAUGGAUCACAAAUACUCCAUUUAUAUUCAAUUCAUUAAUACAGAAACUGUGUUGCAUCCAUUGAUGUAUAUAUGUGUGUGUAUGUCACAUUCCUCUUCCAUCAUGUCAUUAACAUGAGAGCUAUUAUGAAAAAAGCAACAAGAGUGCAUCAAUUUGAUUUGAGUAGCACCUCUACUUUUGCCAGCACUAGUAAGACUACAUCUGCCAAAGGUAGCAGCACUUGCAGGUAGACCAAUCGAAUAAAUUAAUAAAGCAAAUUCAAUGAAGCAACAACCAGUACCAAAGAGAAGCGGCCAUAAACUGGAUAGUUAAUUCUUUGCCAGACUCCAGAAUUGGAAGACACCCCUGUAAGAAUUCUAAUAAAGGCUUGCAUUGAAGUUUAGUUAUCUCUGUUCCCAAACGAAUUGAGGUCCUUUUCUUUUUCAGUAUGUUUGUCAUCAUGAUUACCUCUUGUGCUAUAUAUAUGUAUAUAUUCCAUCUUCUAGUCUCAUGAAUUCUCCAAUUAGUUUUCUUUUAAUCAGAAUAUCCUAAUACUUUGUGAUUGACUGGAGCUGGGAACAAUAAAUAAACAUACAGAAGUUUUGGCGCUAAAAAAAUAUGGUUUUAUCGUUGGCAUGUUUACCGUUCGGAAGUUUUUAUAUAGUAGAUGGGUUUGUUUGAGUGGUUGAAAUGGGAUAUGGUUGUCCUUGACCUUAAGUUUUAUAUUAAAUAAAUUUGGUCCUUUGAAGGGGUUGCAGCUUUUAUAGUAACUUUUAUUUUCAUCCUCUAUAUUUGCCUACUCAGUUUUUUUCUGCUUCUAUUUAAGUAUCACUAGGAUUGCAACCCACAUUACCUUUCUCAUGCUGUAUGUGAUUGUUUUGGCAUGAUAGAGCCGGGUGAUGGUGUUUUAUCAUAGUGUCUGAAACUGCUUACCAUCACAUUUACAAAUCAUCCAUUCCUAAACCCCGGUUAUACCUCGGAUCGGCGUAAAUCCCAUAGUAUUUAACCUCAGUGGUUGCUUAAGUUAGGUGAAUAUUUUUUUCUAAACCGAAAUAAAUAAAUGCAAGUGACUGAUACAUGUUCUAUUUCUAAAUGCAGGCGUCUAUAGCAAUUAAGAAGAUUUUGUAUGCUGAUGAUCCAGAUGAAUCAGCACUGGAUGAAGCUCAGGGUUACCUUGAUCAAACUAUCAAUGCUGCAAAAGCCGAAGCAGAAAUUGAAGACUGACUCUAAAAAGUAGCUCCUAACUCGGAUGUGCAAGAUACAUGUGAGGCUAUCUGUUAAACAAAGUUGGUGCUGUGCCAAUAGAGUGACAUGACAUUUAAUGAAAGAGUUGUUGUAUGGUAUGUUUGUGUUGUUGUAAACCAGGAUUAUCAAAGUAGAAACUGGUCUUUCCAAUUAAGAGUGCAUUUCAUCAUCUUUUUUAUCUGUAUGAAAAUAACUUAUCUAAUGAACUUUGCUACCAAGUUUUCUGAAUUUUUUUCUGAUAAUUUUAAUUCAAAAUGACUCGUGAGUUUCCAUGAUACAAUAUAAAACACACCCCACUAUUUGU